CGUCAGAGCCUUCACAAGUUCACGUCCACCAGAGGCUUUGCCAAGGGUUGCUCCUGGAGGGGUCUCCCUCAGCUGCUUAUUAAAUUACCCCAUCUCCAAGAAGUAGGCAUCCUUGAGUUCAUUUUCCCUGAUGGGAAAACUGAAGAUCAGACAGAGGAAAUCAUUAGUGCCGGUCUCAUGGCUGAUUCGUGGAAGCGUCGAGAAUUAUCAAAGCGUGACAGCUGGGGCUACGAAAAGAGGGACAAUGACAUCCCUGGUUUUCGUCCUCUCUCCACGGCCAGCACAGCCCCAGACAUUCUGCGCGUGCGCACACCAGUUCGGUCCCGGGUCCCA